rnacentral:rRNA from 1 species
CGUAGGGUGCAAGCGUUAAUCGGAAUUACUGGGCGUAAAGCGUGCGCAGGCGGUUGUGCAAGACCGAUGUGAAAUCCCCGGGCUUAACCUGGGAAUGGCAUUGGUGACUGCACGGCUAGAGUGUGUCAGAGGGGGUAGAAUUCCACGUGUAGCAGUGAAAUGCGUAGAGAUGUGGAGGAAUACCGAUGGCGAAGGCAGCCCCCUGGGAUAACACUGACGCUCAUGCACGAAAGCGUGGGAGCAAACAGGAUU